CAUACGACCGUACCGCAAACCGACACUGGUGCGCGAGAUGAGUAUUCUAAGGCGCUUGAGAGAACUCAGGAGAAGGAACUCGGCAAAUUGACACCGUAACUUCGGAAGAAGGUGUGCCCUAUUAGUGUGUAGUGAACAACGAAGCAUGAAUGGGUUGCAAAAAAUCGGUGGCUGCGACUGUUUAUUAAAAACACAGCACUCUGCAAACACGAAAGUGGACGUAUAGGGUGUGACGCCUGCCCGGUGCUGGAAGAUUAAAUGAUGGGGUGCAAGCUCUUGAUUGAAGUCCCAGUAAACGGCGGCCGUAACUAUAACGGUCCUAAGGUAGCGAAAUUCCUUGUCGGGUAAGUUCCGACCUGCACGAAUGGCGUAACGAUGGCCACACUGUCUCCUCCUGAGACUCAGCGAAGUUGAAAUGUUUGUGAUGAUGCAAUCUCCCCGCGGAAAGACGGAAAGACCCCAUGAACCUUUACUGUAGCUUUGUAUUGGACUUUGAACAGAUCUGUGUAGGAUAGGUGGGAGGCUUUGAAGCAGGGUCGCUAGAUCUUGUGGAGCCAACGUUGAAAUACCACCCUGGUGUGUUUGAGGUUCUAACCUAGGUCCAUUAUCUGGAUCGGGGACAGUGCAUGGUAGGCAGUUUGACUGGGGCGGUCUCCUCCCAAAGCGUAACGGAGGAGUUCGAAGGUACGCUAGUUACGGUCGGACAUCGUGACGAUAGUGCAAUGGCAUAAGCGUGCUUAACUGCGAGACUGACAAGUCGAGCAGAUGCGAAAGCAGGACAUAGUGAUCCGGUGGUUCUGUAUGGAAGGGCCAUCGCUCAACGGAUAAAAGGUACUCUGGGGAUAACAGGCUGAUACCGCCCAAGAGUUCAUAUCGACGGCGGUGUUUGGCACCUCGAUGUCGGCUCAUCUCAUCCUGGGGCUGUAGCCGGUCCCAAGGGUAUGGCUGUUCGCCAUUUAAAGAGGUACGUGAGCUGGGUUUAAAACGUCGUGAGACAGUUCGGUCCCUAUCUUCCGUGGGCGCUGCAGAUUUGAGGAAGCCUGCUCCUAGUACGAGAGGACCGGAGUGGACACACCUCUGGUGUAUCGGUUGUCACGCCAGUGGCAUUGCCGAGUAGCUAAGUGUGGAAGAGAUAACCGCUGAAAGCAUCUAAGCGGGAAACUCGUUUCAAGAUGAGAUCUGCCGGGGCCUUGUGCCCCCUAAAGAGUCGUUCAAGACCAGGACGUUGAUAGGUCAGGCGUGGAAGCUG
rnacentral:rRNA from 1 species